UAAGUGAAAGCCAAAAUAGAGGCGCCUAGCUGUUAAUUAGGAGAUUGUAAAUACUUUACUCAUUUAG
rnacentral:tRNA from 1 species